ACGCUGGCGGGAUGCUUUACACAUGCAAGUCGAACGGCAGCACGGACUUCGGUCUGGUGGCGAGUGGCGAACAGGUGAGUAAUGUAUCGGAACGUGCCUGGUAGCAGGGGAUAACUGCGCGAAAGCGCGCUAAUACCACGCCGCCCUUCGGGGAAAGCGGGGGACCUUCGGGCCUCGCACUAUUAAAACGGCCGAUAUCAGUUAGCUAGUUGGUGGGGCGCGGCUCUGGCUGGCGUCCGUAGCUGGUUUGGGGAGGACGACCAGCCACACUGGGACUGAGACACGGCCCAGACUCCUACAGGAGAGCAGCAGUGAAAUUUUGGACAAUGGGGAAACCCCAGUCCCUUCGCCCGCGUGUGCCGAUGAAGGCCUUCCGGGUUGUAAAGCACGGCGGAAAGAAACGGCACGGGAUGUCCCCGUGCAACUGACGUACUGCAGGCAGCACCGGCUGCUGCAUUGACAGCAGCCGCGGUAAUACGUAGGGUGUGCAAGCGUUAAUCAAGUUACUGGGCGUAAAGCGUGUAUAGUGGGUUCGGAAAGAAAGAUGUGAAAUCCCAGAGCUUAACUUUGGAACUGCAUUUUUAACUACCGAGCUAGAGUGUGUCAGAGGAGGUGGAAUUCCGCGUGUAGCAGUGAAAUGCGUAGAUAUGCGGAGGAACACCGAUGGCGAAGGCAGCCUCCUGGGAUAACACUGACGCUCAUGCACGAAAGCGUAGGGAGCAAACAGGAUUAAGAUACCCUGGUAGUCCACGCCCUAAACGAUGUCAACUAGCUGUUGGGGCCUUCGGGCAUGGUAGCGCAGCUGCGCGUAAGUUGACCGCCAAGGGAAGUACGGUCGCAAGGUCAACCAAAGGAAUUGACGGGGACCGCACAAGCGGUGGAUGAUGUGGAUUAAUUCGAUGCAACGCGAAAAGCACUUACCUACCCUUGACAUGCUCACAGAAUCCCGAAGAGAUUUGGGAGUGCUCGCAAGGCAGACACAGGUGCUGCGCUGGCUGUCGUCAGCUCGUGUCAUUGGUCUUGGGUUAAGUCCCCUAUGGGCGCAACCCUUGUCAUUAGUUGCUACGAAAGGGCACUCUAAUGCAGAGACUGCCGGUGACAAGCCGGAGGAAGGUGGGGAUGACGUCAAGUCCUCAUGGCCCUUAUGGGUAGGGCUUCACGUCGCCCAUGGUCCGGGACAGAGGGUCGCCAACCUGCGAGAGCCAAUCAGGAAACCCGUCGCAAUCGGAUCGCAGUCUGCAACUCCGACUGCGUGAAGUCGGAAUCGCUAGUAAUCGCCGGAUCAGCAUGUCACGGUGAAUACGUUCCCGGGUCUUAUGCACACCGCCCGUCACACCAUGGAGUGGGUUUCCUGCCCAGAAGUAGUUAGCCUAACCGUAAGGAGGGCGAUUACCACGGUAAAGUUCAUGACUGAAAUUUGAAGUCGUAACAAGGUAA
rnacentral:rRNA from 1 species